UCUUGUGAUAAAAUUAGUGAAUUCUAAAGAAGACUAUGGUCUCUAUGUGAACUGAUUAUUUUGUAGACAUUGUUGGAACACAAGAUUUUAGUCAGACAGCGACAAUAUUUAACACACAAUAAUAUUCGAAUUGAACGUCACAGAAAUGUAUUUCAUUCAAAUAUUUUAUGUUCUCAUCCAAAUGAAAUAAAGAUUGCACAUAUUUUCAUUUCCACUACCAUUUCUCUCCUAACUAUCAUUACAUGACCAGAAAACCUUCAGACAAAUAAAUCGUUUUCACAUUAAAACUUUUCCAACAAGGCUGAAACAUUAUAGUGAAUAAUUUGAAGACUAGAGACUGCUUAAUCUAGCCAUGCCGAUCUGAUCAUUUACAUGAAGAAACUUUGCAUUAGAAGCACACGCUUCAGUAAUCGGAGAGUUUUUAUAACUCUUGGGAGUUUUAACAGGAAUGAUUAAGAACUUCAUUAUUCAUCUAAACUCAACAUGACCUUCAUCAGCGUCUUCAUCUGGAUGUUAUCUGUCUUCUGUUUCAGAGAAUCCAGAGGUGACGUGACAGUCAUUCAAACACCUGCAGUGAAAUCUGUUCAUCCAGGAGACACAGUUACCAUCACCUGUAAAACCAGUCCUGAAGUCUAUCAGGGUUGGAGUUAUCAGCCUCUUUCCUGGUAUCAGCAGAAACCUGGAGAAGCUCCUAAACUCCUGAUUAUAAAAGCAAAUGAGUUACACACAAAUACUCCAUCUAGAUUCAGUGGCAGUGGAUCAAACACAGAUUUCACUCUGAGAAUCAGUGACGUUCAGACUGAAGAUGCAGGACAUUAUUACUGUUUUGGUUAUCAUGGUAGCAAUGUGUUCACACAGAGAUAGAGAGUCAUACAAAAACCUCCAUCAGUCAGACUGACACACCUGACAGAUGCACACAUCCAUAAUUCAUAUACAUAACAAAAUACAUAAUACGGUUGUAAACACAACUCAAUUUUUCAUGAAAUCUGAACAUCUGAACACAGUUCAUUCUGGCCUUUGGAUUUUUCCAGGUUUGUCUGAAUUAUGUCAGAGAUGCUGGUUUUUAAG